rnacentral:rRNA from 1 species
CAUGCAAGUCGACGGUAGCACAGAGAGCUUGCUCUCGGGUGACGAGUGGGGGACGGGUGAGUAAUGUCUGGGAAACUGCCUGAUGGAGGGGGAUAACUACUGGAAACGGUAGCUAAUACCGCAUAAUGUCGCAAGACCAAAGAGGGGGACCUUCGGGCCUCUUGCCAUCACAUGUGCCCAGAUGGGAUUAGCUAGUAGGUGGGGUAACGGCUCACCUAUGCGACAAUCCCUAGCUGGUCUGAGAGGAUGACCAGCCACACUGGAACUGAGACACGGUCCAGACUCCUACGGGAGGCAGCAGUGGGGAAUAUUGCACAAUGGGCGCAAGCCUGAUGCACCCAUGCCGCGUGUAUGAAAAAAGCCUUCGGGUUGUAAAGUACUUUCUGCGGGGAGGAAGGCGAUACGGUUAAUAACCGUGUCGAUUGACGUUACCCGCAGAAAAAACACCGGCUAACUCCGUGCCAGCAGCCGCGGUAAUACGGAGGGUGCAAGCGUUAAUCGGAAUUACUG